rnacentral:rRNA from 1 species
GACGAACGCUGGCGGCGUGCUUAACACAUGCAAGUCGAGCGGAAAGGCCCUUCGGGGUACUCGAGCGGCGAACGGGUGAGUAACACGUGAGUAAUCUGCCCUUCACUCUGGGAUUGCCACCGGAAACGGUGAUUAAUACCGGAUACGACCAGUCCCUGCAUGGGGUGUUGGUGGAAACUUUUUUGGGUGGGGGAUGUGCUCGCGGCCUAUCAGCUUGUUGGUGGGGUAAUGGCCUACCAAGGCUUCGACGGGUAGCCGGCCUGGGAGGGUGACCGGCCACACUGGGACUGAGACACGGCCCAGACUCCUACGGGAGGCAGCAGUGGGGAAUAUUGGACAAUGGGCGGAAGCCUGAUCCAGCAACGCCGCGUGAGGGAUGACGGCCUUCGGGUUGAAAACCUCUUUCAGCACCGACGAAGCGCAAGUGACGGUAGGUGCAGAAGAAGGACCGGCCAACUACGUGCCAGCAGCCGCCGUAACAC